UCGCACGGGGCGCGCUCUCUCUCUCUCUCUCUCUCCUUCUCUCUUUCACUCUGGAAAGCACGACUUACGGCCAUCGACUUUUGGCACCGCCACCACCACCACCAAAAGAUAGCCUAGUUCUAGUUUUGAUUUGGCUAUCAGAUAAUCCUUCUCUCUCUUCUUUAUCAGAUUUCAAAACCAAAACGAAGAAGGAGCCCUCGUCAAAAUGACAAAACCUGAACUGAAGUCGCCAUCGAUCUCUCUCUCUCUCUCUCUUGGGCACAGGCCUUCUCCCUCUCAACCUCUCUCCUCGACGGUUCGAUUUCUUUUACAACAAAAAGAAUGACUAGAGCUUUUGGGAACCCAUUAAUCUGACACAAGUUAAUUGAGGCUAUCCAGUUCAAAAGAUAAACAAGCUCAAGCGCUCUGGUUUUGUUAACUGGAAGCUGAAGAAUUUGAAUGACUUUUACGUGCUGACACAUGCAAGAGCUUGGUGCACAUCUUCUUUGCUCAAUGUGGAACAUCAAAGACUUCGAGUUUUACGAACUCCAAAGACAUUAGAGUUGAAGGACUAAUGUCACUGAACAGCCAAAUGUUUCACAUUGUGAUAAACGGCUGCCAAGAUGUACUGAUUCAAGGCGUCAAAGUCAUUGCUGCUGGAAAUAGCCCAAACACUGAUAGUAUCCAUGUCCAGUUUUCCAGAAAUGUUGCAAUCUUCGGCACCUCCAUCAAAACUGGGGACGAUUGUGUCUCUAUGUUCCAUUGAUCUUUAGCCUUCGGCCCUGCAAUUUAGAAAAUGUGGAAAGGUUAUUUUAGAUGUGUGAUGUCCUGAUAGUCCAAGAGGCAGUGUUGAAACUGAAGGGCCAGAUUUGGAAAUGGCAGAAACGAAGUUCCCAUUUUAUAGUGACUACUGAUCGACAGUUUCAUAUAUAAUAUGAUACUUGAGACAAAUGAAGUGCUACAUACCCAUGUCACUUUUCAUUUUUUGUCUAAUAAUUGGGAUCGCUAUGGCAAUUACAAUGGUGCCAGAAUGAAAAGGGCGAAGAUUGACCCAAGAUAUGAUAUGCCAAAUCAAAAUCAUUCAAUUCCCUCUCAAGUGAUUUUCUGCAAAAUCUAGUGCCCUGUUGUCAUUGUUAAUCAAAUAUUGAUUAUGUAUAUGCUUGUACUGGAGGUAAGCAUGGUCCCAUGGCUGACCAACAGGGGAAAUUUUUUGAUUUUAGAGUGCCAUUGCUUAUGACGUUUUGAAUUAGUGUCUUGUAACUUGGCCAGCAUGCUCUGUUUCUUUUCCAAAUGUAGUGAAUUUCUAUGCCAGUGCUUUGCUAAUGUUUGGCUGAAGAUAAACAAUGGAGGUACUAGCAUUGAAUUUCUACUUUCCACUUUUAUGUGCCAACUUCUGCAUCCUCUUUUGAUCAAAGGCUCAAAGCAUCUCUGGUUGUUAUGCAAUACUGCCAGCCUGCAACUGAAGGAGCAAUAAAGUCAUUGGCAAUAACUUCAGAGUUAUGAGGGGAAAACAGAUGGCAUAUGGCCAACAGUGUUGCACCUUCAUAUGGACCCGUGAGAUUCUUAAUUUCCAGUUUCCAGGUCAUCAGUUGCAUAUAUUUACUUCUAAUUAUGGAUGUAGGUUAUGGAGAGCACCUGUGGAUUCACUUACUCCCACAAUAGUAGACAUGCUCAGUGAAUAAGCUAAAGUAAAUCAAAGCAGGUCCUGAGCCUUUGUUCUCUGUUAAUUAUAUGCAGCAUCUCAGCAAGGAAAAUUUCUAUUCUAGGUCAGC